rnacentral:rRNA from 1 species
AAUGUCUUCGUGAACAUGGCGUACUGCUCAGUAACACGUGGAUAACCUGCCCUUAGGUCUGGCAUAACCCCGGGAAACUGGGGAUAAUUCCGGAUAGAUUAUAGACGCUGGAAUGCCCUGUAAUCCAAAGCUAUUGUGCCUAAGGAUGGGUCUGCGGUCUAUCAGGUUGUAGUGGGUGUAAUGUACCUACUAGCCUACGACGGAUACGGGUUGUGGGAGCAAGAGCCCGGAGAUGGAUUCUGAGACAUGAAUCCAGGCCCUACGGGGCGCAGCAGGCGCGAAAACUUUACAAUGCUGGCAACAGCGAUAAGGGAACCUCGAGUGCCAGGUUACAAAUCUGGUUGUCGAGAUGCCUAAUAAGCAUUUCAUAGCAAGGGCCGGGCAAGACCGGUGCCAGCCGCCCGCGGUAACACCGGCGGCUCGAGUGGUAACCGUUAUUAUUGGGUCUAAAGGGUCUGUAGCCGGCCGGAUAAGUCUCUUGAGAAAUCCAGCAGCUCAACUGUUGGGCUUUCAGGAGAUACUGUCUGGCUCGAGGCUGGGAGAGGUGAGAGGUACUUCAGGGGUAGGGGUGAAAUCUUGUAAUCCUUGAAGGACCACCAGUGGCGAAGGCGUCUCACCAGAACGGACCUGACGGCAAGGGACGAAAGCUAGGGGCACGAACCGGAUUAGAUACCCGGGUAGUCCUAGCCGUAAACGAUACUCGCUAGGUGUCGGCCACGGUGCGACCGUUGUCGGUGCCGUAGGGAAGCCGUGAAGCGAGCCACCUGGGAAGUACGGCCGCAAGGCUGAAACUUA